CCUACGGGGGGCAGCAGUAGGGAAUCUUCGGCAAUGGGGGCAACCCUGACCGAGCAACGCCGCGUGAGUGAAGAAGGUUUUCGGAUCGUAAAGCUCUGUUGUAAGAGAAGAACGAGUGUGAGAGUGGAAAGUUCACGCUGUGACGGUAUCUUACCAGAAAGGGACGGCUAACUACGUGCCAGCAGCCGCGGUAAUACGUAGGUCCCGAGCGUUAUCCGGAUUUAUUGGGCGUAAAGCGAGCGCAGGCGGUCAAUUAAGUCUGAUGUGAAAGCCCCCGGCUCAACCGGGGAGGGUCAUUGGAAACUGGUUGACUUGAGUGCAGAAGAGGAGAGUGGAAUUCCAUGUGUAGCGGUGAAAUGCGUAGAUAUAUGGAGGAACACCGGUGGCGAAAGCGGCUCUCUGGC
rnacentral:rRNA from 1 species